GUGGGGAAUCUUGCGCAAUGGGCGAAAGCCUGACGCAGCCAUGCCGCGUGAAUGAUGAAGGUCUUAGGAUUGUAAAAUUCUUUCACCGGGGACGAUAAUGACGGUACCCGGAGAAGAAGCUCCGGCUAACUUCGUGCCAGCAGCCGCGGUAAUACGAAGGGGGCUAGCGUUGCUCGGAAUUACUGGGCGUAAAGGGCGCGUAGGCGGACAGUUUAGUCAGAGGUGAAAGCCCAGGGCUCAACCUUGGAAUUGCCUUUGAUACUGGCUGUCUUGAGUUUGGGAGAGGUGAGUGGAACUCCGAGUGUAGAGGUGAAAUUCGUAGAUAUUCGGAAGAACACCAGUGGCGAAGGCGACUCACUGGCCCAAUACUGACGCUGAGGCGCGAAAGCGUGGGGAGCAAACAGGAUUAGAUACCUUGUAGUCC
rnacentral:rRNA from 1 species